UGAUUUUGGGAGUUUUGGUUCCAACAGUUUAGGAAUUAGAGGCCAAAAAAGGGCCCAAAUAAGCAUUAUUCUUGGUUUUCGCACAAUAACGUUAGUAUAAGUAAAUAGAAAUCAAUGAAAUUUAAACACAAGGUUUAUGACCACAAAAGGAGAGCCGUGGUGUAGUGGUUAGUGCAUCGGACUACUAACACAAAGGUUCCUGGUUCGAUUCCCGUCUGGGAUGAAAAUUUCAGGGACUGAAUUUUCGGCUCUCCCUUGACACCAUUUGCGAGUAUGGUCUUGAGGAAACGAUGAUAGUCCGUCGGACGGGGACGAUAAAUGGCUGACCCGUGUUAAGAGAGAGCCAUAUCUCUUGCACGUUAAAGACACCCUUGUAGAUUUCGAAAAAGAGCAGGCUAAUGCCGCUACAAGGCAGCACUCGCACCCGCAAAGUGGAAA
rnacentral:lncRNA from 1 species